AUACGUAGGUGGCAAGCGUUAUCCGGAUUUACUGGGUGUAAAGGGCGCGUAGGCGGGGGUGCAAGUCAGAUGUGAAAUCUAUGGGCUUAACUCAUAAACUGCAUUUGAAACUGUAUUUCUUGAGUGCUGGAGAGGUAGACGGAAUUCCUUGUGUAGCGGUGAAAUGCGUAGAUAUAAGGAAGAACACCAGUGGCGAAGGCGGUCUACUGGACAGUAACUGACGCUGAGGCGCGAAAGCGUGGGGAGCAAACAGGAUUAGAUACCCUGGUAGUCCACGCUGUAAACGAUGAAUACUAGGUGUGGGGGGACUGACCCCCUCCGUGCCGCAGUUAACACAAUAAGUAUUCCGCCUGGGGAGUACGGCCGCAAGGUUGAAACUUAAAGGAAUUGACGGGG
rnacentral:rRNA from 1 species